rnacentral:rRNA from 1 species
UACGGAGGGUGCAAGCAUUAAUCGGAUUUAUUGGGCGUAAAGGGCGCGUAGGCGGAAAUGCAAGUCAGAUGUGAAAUCCCGGGGCUCACCCCCGGAACAGCAUUUGAAACUGCAUUCCUUGAGGGUAGGCGGAGAAAACGGAAUUCCACAAGUAGCGGUGAAAUGCGUAGAUAUGUGGAAGAACACCAGUGGCGAAGGCGGUUUUCUAGCUUAUUCCUGACGCUGAGGCGCGAGAGCAAGGGGAUCAAACAGG